rnacentral:misc_RNA from 1 species
GCCAAUUGUGUAUUAGGACUCUCACUUACAGCUCAUUCUAGAACAGUACUGACAGAUUCUGAGAGGGUUAAGAUACAUUCAGAUGCACUUAAGUCCUUUUAAUCUGCUGGAAAGCUGACAAAGAUGAGUGAUACUAAUGUCAUUUACCAUCUUUGUCUAGAAAAUGCCGAACAAAGGAAGUUGGAUGUCGCAGUCCAUUACGCAAACUGGUUUCUUAAACUGGAAGGUGGCUCUACACUGAAAGGAUCGAUGCUUUUGGCUCGGGUAUUAUCAGCUCAGAAACGGUUUCUGGAUGCUGAAACUAUCAUUAAUGUUGCCCUAGAGCAGAGUGGAAAGUGGGAUCAUGGAGAACUGUUGAGGACCAAAGCUAAGCUCCAAAUCGCGCAGGGUCAAGUGAAAAAUGCUAUAGAAACAUAUACUCAGAUUCUUGCUAUUCUUCAGGUUCAGAGAAGAAGCUUCGGACUGGGGGAAGAUCUCGAGGAGUCUGGAGACCAUUGCAGAACAUUGGAACUGGAAACCUUGCUGGAUCUUGCUUCCAUCUACAUUAAAUUAUCUCAGUGGCGAGAUGCAGAGAAGUGUCUUUCCAAAACUGAGACUAUCAGUUCAUAUUCAGCUUGUAGAUUGUAUACUGCUGGUUUGCUUAACCAAUCGAAGGGCCUAUAUAAAGCAGCUCUGGGAGACUAUUCCAAUGCUUUGGCUGUUAA